rnacentral:rRNA from 1 species
GACGAACGCUGGCGGCGUGCUUAACACAUGCGAGUCGAACGGAAAGGCCCCUUUGGGGGUACUCGAGUGGCGAACGGGUGAGUAACACGUGAGUAACCUGCCCUUGACUUCGGGAUAACUUCAGGAAACUGGGGCUAAUACCGGAUAGGAAUCCUUGCUGCAUGGUGGGGGUUGGAAAGCUUCGGCGGUUUUGGAUGGACUCGCGGCUUAUCAGCUUGUUGGUGGGGUAGUGGCUUACCAAGGCUUUGACGGGUAGCCGGCCUGAGAGGGCGACCGGCCACCUUGGGACUGAGAUACGGCCCAGACUCCUACGGGAGGCAGCAGUGGGGAAUAUUGCACAAUGGGCGGAAGCCUGAUGCAGCAACGCCGCGUGCGGGAUGACGGCCUUCGGGUUGUAAACCGCUUUCAGCAGGGGCGAAGCUUGUGGUGACGGUACCUGCAGAAGAAGCACCGGCUAACUACGUG